AGUUUCUCCUCUUCUCCGGAGGUCUCCAAGCAGAGUAACAGAGGCGGAAGGGACCCUGCAGGGCUUCUAGGCCAAGCCGACCAGUGGAGCGAGGAGGCGGCCUCCACGGUCACUUCCAAUCUUAGGCCGCGUUUCCCGAAGGGCCCUUGGACGUCGCCUCGGCCAGCCCCGCGACUCCGGGCACGAAGCCUCCACCCGGGAUUGAAACCGGCGGCGGGCUUCGCGGUUUUGCAGAGGAAACGCGGCCAAUUGGGGGGCACGGAGCCUCUCCGAGGGCGUUUUCGGGGGGGGGAAGCGGGAGGGGGCAGUCGGGGUGUUGCAAAGGCUGCCGCGCCCCCUGCCCGGCCAGCGCGGGGAGGAGCCCAUCCUCUCCCGCCCUCGCGGCGGUUGCCAUGGCCACGCGGCCCUCGCGCCGGAGUCGCCCGCCGAGGCCCUCCCGCCUGCCGCUCCGGAGCCCGCGCGAGAGGAACCCCGGGGGGCCGCGCGCUGCCCUUCGCCGCUUGUCGGGUGCGGGGACUCGGCGGGAAGACGCCGGACUCCUCGGUCCGGAGCGUUCGGAACAAGAGCCCGCCGCGGCCGUUCCACUCCCCGGAGCCGAUCGGGCGCCGGAGGCUGGAGCGCGUCGGCCGGGCGGCUGCUGGGAGGGCCGGCCCGGGCGCUGCUGCUGUCGGCUGGGGAGAGAGCCCGCAGGGAGGGAGGAGGCAACAGGCCGGGCGGUGGUGGAGGAGCCGGCGAGAGGCACCUGCCCGGCUGCGGCUCCGCGAAGCGCCUUCGGCAAGCGGCGCUCCCGGAGGCUCCGGCCGAGGGGCUCCAGGCCAGGGGAGGGGCGGGCCCGUCGCAGGGCGAGGCGCUGCUGGGAUUGGAGGAGGCCUCGCUUGGAAGGGCAGAGCGCUCGGGGGCUUCCGCCUCUUGUCCAGGGAGGGUCCCCCGUGCGGUGACGGGGCAGCCCCGCUUGGGCGGAGGGGCCGAGUCCGCGGGCCGGGGCGGCUGCAAAGGCCGCCCACCUGUGGCGGCGGGCGGGCCUGGAGGCUCCGUCUCUCGGCUUUGUGGGCAGCCGAGAGGCGGCCUCCUUCCGCCCGCCUGGCCGGGUGA
rnacentral:lncRNA from 1 species